rnacentral:misc_RNA from 1 species
CUGCCCUCAAGCACGGCUUGUGUGUUGGGCUCCGUCCCCCCGGGGACGGGUCCGAAAGGCAGCGGCGGCACCGAGUCCGGUCCUCGAGCGUAUGGGGCUUUGUCACCCGCUCUGUAGGCCCGGCCGGCGCCAACCGACAACCAAUCAUCCUUUUUUCA